AGAAGGAAAUUAGAUUGGUUUGGCAUGCUUUAUCCUUGACAAAUACAUGUUGGCUAUUACUGAUAACCCUGUUGUCCUCAAGGUGCUUACAAAUUGAUUGUUUAAUAAUUUGUUCCAGUAUCUUCUACUUCUCUGCUGUCAG